GGUAAAAUGGCUGAGUUAAGCAUUAGACUGUAAAUCUAAAAACAAAGGUGUAAAUCCUUUUUUUACCA
rnacentral:tRNA from 1 species